CAAAUGCACGCCACCACUUUCUAUAUUGAUCAUUCUUCUUCUUACUUUUCUCUCUACAUCUAAUCUGUCUCUCAUCACAGCUCCUAACCUCCAUGGAUACUGCAACUGUAAAUGAACAGAUGGUCCCGAAUGAAGAUGAACUAAUGAAACAAAUCCUGGCAAUUCACAACCCAGAUGGCAAGGAAUUUGAUGUACAACCUCUUCUUGAUGUUGUAGAGGAUAUCAUUCAACAUGCUAAUGGAACUUGGGUAAGUGGAAAAGAUGACACGGUUUCCCAAGGUGAUUUGAUUUGCAAGCUUGAUAAUUUGCCUUAUGAUGCAAUAAAGAAGGUUUCUUGUGAGUUCUCUCGGAAGUGUUCAGGGGCUCCAAACACUAUUAAAGUUUUUCAAUCACUUGAAAGCUACUCAUGGGAAGCCAAGGCGGUGAUAACCCUGGCAGCCUUUGCUGUGAACUAUGGCUCAUACUGCUUGAUUGCCCAGCUUUAUAAUAAAAGCAACCCAUUUGCCAAGUCCGUGGCAUUCCUCCAACUAUCACCAAAGAUACUAAAACGGAACCCUUUGAAUCUAAAGUUUGAGGAAUUGAUGAAAAUUGUUGUGAUCAUCUUUGGUCUUAUCAAGGACAUUGUUAAGGCCAAGAUCCAAUCUGAGUCUGUUUAUAAAGACUAUUUGGUGAAAGCUGUGAGUUUGAGCAUCCUGGGUAUUGUUGCUUGUGCAUCACAGAUGAUGGACACAGUGGGCACGCAAAAGGAGUAUAAACCUGCAGAUCAAAUGGAGGCCAGAAAAUUUGAAAUGCUCCUGCCUUUCGGGUUUAUGCCUUUCAGGUUUAAACCAACAGAUCAAACGGAGGUCCAGAAACUUUCUGACCUAUUGAAAAAUAUUGGAAACACGCGCAGCAACCUGAAGGAGGACUUGGAUAAAUGGACUCAAAAAAUUGAGGAAAAUUUUAAGAAACUCAAGAAGCUAUUCGAGAAAACAAAAACUGACAAUGUGGAGAUCCUCAACACUCUAUUUUCCUCCAAGGACAAUCAGGCGCCACUCUAUAAUCCUUCUACCAAUGCAGAGGAAAACCUCAACAACAAGCUGAGUGGAAGAUAUGUGAUGUUAUACAUUUCAAGCUUAGAGCACACCUUGGAAGAUGAAUAUUCCAAUCUUGGUGAUAAGUACAAAAACAGAUCAACUUUGUACGAGAUCGUAUGGAUUCCAAUUGUUGAUGAAUCAGCCUCAUGGAAUAAAGAGAUGGAAAAGAAGUUCAAGGAAAUUCAAAAGUCAAUGCCAUGGUACUCUAUUAGUGACCCUUCCAAGCUUGACAAAGCUGUCAUCAAGUACAUCAAGGCGAUUUGGAAUUUCACCGGAAAGUCACUGCUUGUGGUACUAGACCCACACGGAGACUUUGUGAAAGCUGAUGAUGUCAAAACAUUUUGGAUAUGGGAAAAGUCUGUUUUUGUAUUAGAAUCUGAAAGCACGGAGAACAAGUUGGAACAAGUCUGGAAAGGGACCACGAUUCAACUGCUGCAAGAUACCAUGGAUCCAUUUCUCACUGAAUGGAUUGACGUGAAAAAGUACAUUUUCUUAUUCGGAGGGGAUGAUGCAAAUUGGAUUCAGGAAUUUUUAGACGCUGUGUAUAAAGUUGCAAAGGCCACUAGAAUUGACUACGUCACAGCGUAUGUGGGAAAAAACAUCAUGAAUUGGGAAGCCCACGAGGAAAUUCUUAACGAGCAGGUGGAAUUUAAUGAGGAAACAUUGUAUGCAUUCGGGUCAAAGAAGUCCUUGUCGGCAUUUUGGGAUACCCUGCAAGGGAUCUGGCAAAAGAAGAUGGAUACUGGCGAGUCUAUGGUAGAUGAAACCACAAUGAAGGACAUCGAGACGCUUCUGAGCUUUGACAUGAGCGGUGAGGGAUGGGCUGCGGUUUGUCGUGGUCGAAGCCCUAAGUUGCCCAAAGCCCAUGGUAAAACCAUUCCGGAUUUCUUAAAUAGCUAUGCUGAUCAAUGGAUAGGGAGCAGCAAACAGCAUCUUGAUGUUGUAGAUGCACUCAUGAAUAGCUUCUCAACCUUCAUUGCCACACCAAUUGCUGUAGACAGCACUGUUGUCAGUGAAAAUUUUGAGAAACUCAAGAAGCUAUUCGGGAAAACAAAAACCGACAAUGUGGAGAUCCUCAGCGCUCUAGUUUCCUCCAAGGACAAUCAGGCGCCACUCUAUAAUCCUUCUACUAAUGCAGAGGAAGACCUCUACAACAAGCUGAGUGGCAGAUAUGCGAUGUUAUACAUUUCAAGCUUAGAGCACACCUCGGAAGAUGAAUAUUCCAAUCUCGGUGAUAAGUACAAGAAUAGAUCGACUUUGUAUGAGAUUGUGUGGAUUCCCAUCGUGGAUGAAUCAACCUCGUGGAAUGAAGAGAUGGAAAAGAAGUUCAAGGAAAUUCAAAAGUCAAUGCCAUGGUACUCUAUUAGUGACCCUUCCAAGCUUGACAAAGCUGUCAUCAAGUACGUCAAGGAGAUUUGGAACUUCACGGGAAAGUCAUUGCUUGUGGUACUAGACCCACACGGAGACUUUGUGAAAGCUGAUGAUGUCAAAACAUUUUGGAUAUGGGAAAAGUCUGUUUUUGUAUCAGAAUCUGAUAGCACGGAGAACAAGUUGGAACAAGUCUGGAAAGGGACCACGAUUCAACUGCUGCAAGAUACCAUGGAUCCAUUUCUCACUGAAUGGAUUGACGCGAAAAAGUACAUUUUCUUAUUCGGAGGGGAUGAUGCAGAUUGGAUCCAGGAAUUUUUAGACGCUGUGUAUAAAGUUGCAAAGGCCACUAGAAUGGACUACGUCACAGUGUAUUUGGGAAAAAACAACAUGGAUUGGGAAGCCCACGAGGAAAUAAUUAACGAGCGGGUGGAAUUUAAUGAGGAAACUUUGUAUGCAUUCGGGUUAAAGAAGUUCCUGUCGGCAUUUUGGGAUACCCUGCAAGGGCUCUGGCAAAAGAAGAUGGAUACUGGUGAGUCUAUGGUAGAUGAAACCACAAUGAAGGACAUCGAGACGCUUCUGAGCUUUGACACGAGCGGUGAGGGAUGGGCUGCGGUUUGCCGUGGUCGAAGCCCUAAGUUGCCCAAAGCCCAUGGUAAAACCAUUCCUGAUUUCUUAAAUAGCUAUGCUGAUCGAUGGAAAGGGAGCAGCAAACAGCGUGUUGAUCUUGUAGAUGCACUCAUUACAAAGGGCUAUCUGUGAAAGUGGUGAUAGUAACCCAGAGCACAGCUAAACUAAGAGUGCGAAUUGCCUUCUAUCCGUGACGAAAAUUAACAUGAAGUGAAGGCUUCCGAUGAUGAUUUGGUUGUAAAUUGUGAAGAUACUCUUCAAGAGGUUGAGAUCUCGAGAGGAAGCACAGAAAAGGAGAAGAGAAUAUUCAAUCGUUCCAGGUGAAAGCAGCGUCACUAAGGGAAAUGGCGUUAUCGAGAUGUAGCUGAUAGUGACAAUAGAUCUUUUGUAGUUUUUUAGUAUGUACGAAAUAUUCAGCCGUUGGCGUAUUAUUUUGGUGAUGUCAUGUUGAACAUCGAUGGUAUGAAUUCUAUAUUAUGAAUAAAGAAAUUAUUGUUUUUGUAUUAUCGAGGUUUCGAUUCUGCUUCCACUGAUGUGAUGAUAUUACUAGUUUUAGCUUAUUCUUUUAAAUUAAUAUGUUGAGAUAGUAGAUCGAGAUUGUCGUGGUUAAAUUUAUGUUAAGAAAAUUUUUUUUUUCCAAAAUCUCGAGUUAACGCACUCUUGGAAAAAACGGGGGGUUACAUCCCAGGAGGUCUUUCUCUCGCGAAAAAGACUUCCACAAUCUUCAUUCUUCAUAAUAACACUCUUUCGUGGGCACCGGCAUUGCUAGGGAGAAUGAUCCCUAGCCAUCAAAUACAAGUUCGGGAAUUGAUGCGCUUUUGAACUUAGCCUUUAUCAACAGGGGGACCGUCCUCCUCACUUCCCACUUGCCUAGCCUAAAUCUCUGGUUUGAUGAACAACAUGGAUGCCUAGUAGAGAUACAGGGUGGGGAGGUGCAUUCUUCUUUCAAGGGCCAGCAUAAUAGCUAGAGAAAAACCUUGGAAGGUUCAUAAUAGUAGAAGAAAAGCCUCACAAAAAGCUCCCUAGUGCCUUUAUGGAGGAUUCAAAGUAUGGCUCAUUUGGAGGUACUAUAGGAUGAAGGGGGAGUGCAUCUUCACUCAACUGACCCUUAUGGUGGCAAUUAAGGGAUGGAUUUUUUCUCGAUUUCUAUAGACGGCGCCAAAUUGUUGUUACCUAACUACAACAAUUAAAUUUAUUUAUCUUGAGAUCAGCCAAAACAGAGUUCUUCACCACGACAAAGGGUCUGAGAUGCCAUGAGCGAGGCCUAACAGAUGUGGAAUGGGUCAAAGCUGGAACCUAAAGAAGCAGGAACUCGAAUAGGUCCUUAAGGGCUUCUGGAUGAGUUGCUCGGAUAGGCCUCUUGGGAAUCAAGAGAAAGGGUACCUCGAUGGGUCUUUGGGAGGCAAGGCUUCUUAUCUUUUAGGUAAGCUAGGUUGGGACUUAGCCUGCGGUCACAAAUAGAAGUUAGAAAGGUACGCGAGAGACUCCCCCAUGUAGGCCCUCCAAUGUCGAAGUCAGACAAUAGUCUAAGGUAUGUCCAAAGUGUGAUAUAUGAUGCAAUUAGUAUGGGAUCAGCCAAAGCAGAGUUCUUUAACCAGCUCCAAAGUCUUCUUCUCACCAAAAUGACCAGCUAAACCUCCCCCAUGUGCUUCCCUCACCAAGAGUUCCCUUAUAGACCCAUUAGGAAUACAAAGUCUCUUAGAUCUAAACAAGUACCUUUCAUGCCUGUAGUAACCAUUAAUAGCCCAUUUCUCACAAGUUAAGUAAAUAGAAGCAAAGGUUGGAUCAUCCACAUACUAAUUUUUAAUCAAUUCAAACCUUAGUAGUUUAGCAUUCAUCAUGGUGAUUAGAGCAUACCUCUGUGAUAAUGCAUCUGCUACUACAUUUGAAUUUCCCUUUUUGUACUUGACGUAGGGAAAAACUUCUAAGAACUCCACCCAUUUGGCAUGCCUUCGGCUCAGCUUGUUUUGCCUUUUUUAAGUGAUUCAAAGAUUCAUGGUUCGUGUGAAUGACAAACUCUUUGGGUAGUAAGUAAUGUUGCCAAGUCUCCAAAGCUCUAAUCAAUGCGUAGAACUCCUUGACAUAUAUAGAAUAAUUCAAACUUCCUCCACUUAACUUUUCACUAAAAUAAGCUAUGGGACACCUAUCUUGCAUAAGGACAACCCUAAUUCCAACUCCGAAGCAUCACACUCCACUUCAAAAGUCUUCGAAAAAUCAGGGAGAGCUAAAAUAAGAGCGGAGCAUAAUUUCUCAUUGAUCAGCUCCAAACUUCUUUGGGCAGCCUCAUUCCAUCUAAAUUCACCACCUUUCUUGAUGUACAAAAAUAGUGUUGAAAUUCUUCGCAAACCUCUUAUAAAAAGAUGCUAGCCCAUGGAAACUCCUUACAUCUAAAACACUAGCAGGUACGGGCCACUCCUUAAUUGCUCUUACUUUCUCCUAAUCAAGUUCAACCCCAUGUUGUGAAACCAUGUAACUAAGAGAGAUUAUUCGGUUUUGACAGAAUUAACACUUCUUUAAUUUGCCAAAUAGCUUCUUCUGUCGUAACACUUCAAAGACUUUCCUAAGGUGCCCCAAAUGCUUCUCAAGAGUUCUAUUAUAAAUCAAAAUAUCAUCAAAAUAAACCACAACAAAUUACCAAUGAACUUACGAAGUACAUGAUUCAUCAAUCGCAUGAAGGUGCUAGGUGCAUUAGACAAGCCAUUCGUACAACAUGUGCUUUGUUUUGAAUGCAGUCUUCCAUUUAUCCUCCCCCUUUCAUUCGAAUAUGAUGGUAGCCACUUUUGAGAUCUAUCUUUGAGAACAAUUUAGAGCCAUACAACUCAUCAAGCAUAUCAUCCAACCUAGGGAUUGGGUAGCGAUACUUCAUCGUUAUCUUGUUUAUUGCCCAACUAUCCACACACAUUCUCAUAGUCCCAUCAUUUUGUAGCACUAGCAAAGCUAAUACAGAACAAUGACUCAUUGACUCCCUUACGUAUCCAUUCUCUAAGAACUCAAUUACUUAUCGAUGCAACUCCUUGGCUUCAUCUGGAUUGCUUCUAUAGGCUGGUCUAUUUAGUAAAGUAGCUCCUAGCAUGAGAUUGAUUUGGUGUUCAAUUCCUCUAAUUGGUGGCAGCCCCUUUGGUAUCUCUUCUGGAAACACAUCAACAAACUCUUCAAAAAGCUUCUCAAUUUGUGGUGGGAAAGAAGUUUCCUUGUUUGGCGUUGCUUCCUUUACUAUUAGCAUUAAAACCAAGUUGUGAAUGGACAAAGCUCAUUCUAUCUCUUCCUUCUCCAUCAAGAGUUGAUCUCGCUGCACUUGUUGUGGACUAAGAGGUGCUAAGGUUAUGUUUUUCCUGUCCUUGACAAAAGAAUAAGUGUUUUUGAACCCAUUAUGCACAACCCUCCUAUCAUACUGCCACGGUCUUCCCAAAAGCAAAUGACUCGCAUUUAUUGGAAUCACAUCACAUAACAACUCAUCUUAAUUUGCAUGUUUUUCCAAUUGAAAACGACACAACAACCUACCUAGAAUUCUUCAUCUUGAUGUUGUUUCCUGGAUCUCUUUGUUGCCCCCUUUGCCAUGGUUGUUCAACCAUGCUGUCUUCAUCUCCAGUUUCAUCUCCUUCGCCCUCAUCUUCAUGGAUGACCCUUCUUGGUGCUCGAGGAACGUGUUGCUGUUGUGGAGGAGGUUGAACUCCCAUCCUCUCAAAUGCUUAAGUCAAACGAGUAAGUUGCUUCAUCAUCUCUUCUUGUCUUCGUUGGAGACCCAGGAUUUGAGCUUGUUCCAAUGAAAGCCCUCUUGGUGCAUCUUCUUCAGCCAUGAUUAGAACCUAGGCUCUGAUACCAAUAUGAUGUGCCCGAAAUACAAAAAAAAAUACUAGCACCCCUCGUUUGAUAAGAAAGUUCGCCACAAACAAGAAAAUACUAACUUUGAUUCACCACACUCUAAGAUGGAAGAAGGAAGAGUGAUAAGAAUCAAGUAAAUUUUUCACUAAACAAAUGAAUUGCUUAGAUGAGAAUUAUGAUUAAAAAACUCUCUGCACUUUUUUCAUAAAAAUGUUCAUGCUAAAACAUUACAAGAUCACACAUAUAAAUACUAGUCUUAAAGACAAACUUAAUAAUUAAAAAUAAACAUCAUUGCAUCUUUUGACAAAAGAGGGCCAAGGAUGAUAAUAGACAAACCAAAAGCAUAAUGUAAAAUAUCAUCAUGCCAUUUUUGACAAAGGGAAUCAUGAUUGCCUCUUUUGACAAAAAGGGGGCUAAUGAUGAUAAAAGACAAACUAAAAGCAUAAAGAAAAACAUCAUCAUGCCACUUUUGACAAAGGAAAGAAUCAUGAUGAUAAAACACAAUAAUACAUAAAAGACAAAACACUCUCAAACAAUGAAGGGUGACAUCAUGCUUGAUAUCAGUUAUGAGACUUGAGCUUGUUGGAAAGAUUUAGGCCUGACAAAUGGGCUGAUUGCUUGGUUUUGAUCAUGGAGUGCCUAUGUUGCAUUCUAGUCUUAGGCUUCCAAGCAAACAAGUAAUGUGAUUAGUUUGGGCUUUAACUCCUUCACUUUGAAUUAUAACUCUUCCAAAUGGGCUGGAGUCUUCCCAAUAAAUAACUCAAGUUCCUUUCGAAAUUGUUUAGUCCUUAAAUGAGUAAUUGGCCCAAGACUUAUAUGCUCUUAGACAACCCUUACCUUUGCAUCUUUACCAUUCACAUCAGCUAGGCUAACAUAAACAUGAACUGGAAAGAGGCUUACAGUGGGUAUACUGUCCAGGGCCUACGAGUAAAAUAAAUGGUGUUAUGACAAAGGCAUGGAGAGAAUGGUCACCUUUAUUCUACAAAUGGUUUGAUAUUGUAAAUUGACUUUUCGAGGUUAAGCUUAAAUAUUGGCCAGUAUAGUUGUGAGUAUUGAGUCAUCGUCGUGGUUCAAGAUGGUUUGUUCGCGCUCUUCUCUCCUUGUGGAAUGAAACUAGGCUUAGUGGGGUGGUUCCCAGCCUAGGCAUUGUUAUGGGGUUGGUUAUCGGGUUCUUUAUUGAGGUCAUCUCAUUGUGUUAUUCAUUUAAAAGCAUGCAUGACUGAGAGAUAUAUAUUUGGGGGUUCCCAUGAGACUUGUGUUCUUGACCAUGGGCAUAAUGCAUUAUAUGUGUCUUCCUAUUGGGGCGAGCAAGGCUUGACACAUGGCUUAUGGGAGCUAUGUAUCAUCGUUUAUGCUCAUUAUGCCUCUGCAUCAUAUUUAGACAUGAGCACGACAUCAUAUGUGAUUUCCUAUAUGGGCGAGCAAGGCUUGAUGCAUGGCUUAUGGGGGCUAUGUAUUAUUGUUUAUGCUCAUAUGCCACUGCAUUAUAUUUGUGCAUUGCAUGGUUACUGGCACCGUGUAGGUGUGUGGAUGUUUGUCAGACGUUUUAGCGUGCUGAGCGAGCUUCGGUUCCAGUUACAAAGACAGCUGUUGGUCGCUCCUACCCGAGUGAGCUUCGACUCGAGAUUCAGAUAAACGUAAAGCUAAGUAUGGGGGCGAGGCUAGCAUCUUGAGUUAUCCCGAUAGGUGGUGUACAAGGCAGUCCUAGUAGAUCCUAGUUGGUGUGUUUCUUGUGAUGUUAUGCCAUGGAUGUUUAGCACUUGAGUGCUUGGCAUGGUUUUUUUGUAUGUGUAUAUGUAUAUACACUAUGUAACCCAAUAACCGCUUAUUUUUUAUAUGCAUGCCUAGGAUGUGAGUUAUGCUUC